AGUGAACGCUGGCGGCGUGCUUAACACAUGCAAGUCGAGCGAGAUUUAACAGCGUAUCGUUGAGUCUAGCGGCAGACGGGUGAGUAAUACUUGGGCAAUCUGCCCUUGAGUGGGGGACAACCUGCCGAAAGGCGGGCUAAUACCCCACUAAGACCACAGGGUGACAUCAUCUAGAGGUCAAAGACUCCGCAAGGGGCGGCUUGAGGAGGAGCCCGAGUCCAUCAUGGUAGUUGGUGAGGUAACGGCUC
rnacentral:rRNA from 1 species